CCGAAACAUUCAAAUAAAAUCAUAAAAGAAAUAGUUUUUCAAUCUGCAUUAUUUUAUUUGAUAAACGUUUCCAGAAUCCAGACAGAUUUCUACAAAAUUAACAAAACUGACUACAAAUGGAUUCCGGAUUACGUUGGGAACAAUGCCAAAACCUGAAGCUAACCUUUUUCAAGUUAGCCGGGCUUAGUUCAGAAUUGUCUUUUGACUUUUUAAACCUUACCGGUUUAGCGUCUCUUCCGGUAUAUAAAGUAUGAAUUGCUCUAUAUCCUAUAUACUUUCCCAACUGGCCAUCUAUAAAACUGUGGCUUACUCGUGGCAAGAAUAAGUGUGCUCUUUUUUUUUAUAUUUGUUUAUUAUUUCUUUUUAACUUUUAAUAUGUGUGUACUAACCACCUAAAUAUUUUUUAAUAUUAGCUAUCUCGCGGUUCCGUGAUUUUCUCGAUUUAGCGAUGUUCUCCCUUUGAAGCAUUACACCUGCGUUGAAAAACUAACCAAAGUAAAAUGUAAUACGCGUUUUUUUU